GUGGGGAAUCUUCCGCAAUGGACGAAAGUCUGACGGAGCGACGCCGCGUGAGUGAAGAAGGCUUUCGGGUUGUAAACUUCUUUUACCAGGGAAAAACACAAUGAUGGUACCUGGAGAAAAAGCUACGGCUAACUACGUGCCAGCAGCCGCGGUAAUACGUAGGUGGCAAGCGUUGUCCGGAAUUACUGGGUGUAAAGGGCGUGUAGGCGGAACUACAAGUCAGGGGUGAAAACUAUGGGCUUAACCCAUAGCCUGACUUUGAAACUGUAGUCCUUGAGUGCUGGAGAGGCAAAUGGAAUUCCUAGUGUAGCGGUGAAAGGCGUAUAUAUUAGGAGGAACACCAGUGGCGAAGGCGAAUUGCUGGACAGUAACUGACGCUGAGGCGCGAAAGCGUGGGGAGCAAACAGGAUUAGAAACCCCUGUAGUCC
rnacentral:rRNA from 1 species